rnacentral:rRNA from 1 species
UACGUAGGGUGCGAGCGUUAAUCGGAAUUACUGGGCGUAAAGCGUGCGCAGGCGGUUUGCUAAGACAGAUGUGAAAUCCCCGGGCUCAACCUGGGAACUGCGUUUGUGACUGGCGGGCUGGAGUGCGGAAGAGGGAGGUGGAAUUCCACGGGUAGCAGUGAAAUGCGUAGAGAUGUGGAGGAACACCGAUGGCGAAGGCAGCCUCCUGGUCUAGCACUGACGCUCAUGCACGAAAGCGUGGGGAGCAAACGGG